rfam:Triticum aestivum genome assembly, contig: Triticum_aestivum_CS42_TGACv1_scaffold_642380_T_7AS-0.096560_1AL-0.050485
GCUCAGUUGGUAAAGCACAAAGCUCUUAACCUUGUGGACGUGGGUUCAAGCCCCGU